rnacentral:rRNA from 1 species
AGUGAACGCUGGCGGUAGGCCUAACACAUGCAAGUCGAACGGCAGCACAGUAAGAGCUUGCUCUUACGGGUGGCGAGUGGCGGACGGGUGAGGAAUACAUCGGAAUCUACUUUUUCGUGGGGGAUAACGUAGGGAAACUUACGCUAAUACCGCAUACGGCCUACGGGUGAAAGCAGGGGAUCUUCGGACCUUGCGCGAUUGAAUGAGCCGAUGUCGGAUUAGCUAGUUGGCGGGGUAAAGGCCCACCAAGGCGACGAUCCGUAGCUGGUCUGAGAGGAUGAUCAGCCACACUGGAACUGAGACACGGUCCAGACUCCUACGGGAGGCAGCAGUGGGGAAUAUUGGACAAUGGGCGCAAGACUGAUCCAGCCAUACCGCGUGGGUGAAGAAGGCCUUCGGGUUGUAAAGCCCUUUUGUUGGGAAAGAAAAGCAGCAGGUUAAUACCCCGCUGUUCUGACGGUACCCAAAGAAUAAGCACCGGCUAACUUCGUG